rnacentral:rRNA from 1 species
GACGAACGCUGGCGGCGUGCCUAAUACAUGCAAGUCGAACGCAGUGGGGACGGGUGAGUAACACGUUGGUAACCUCCCAUCAGAGGGGAUAACACUUGGAAACAGGUGCUAAACCGAUACUGAUGGAUGGACCCGCGGUGCAUUAGCUAGUUGGUGAGGUAACGGCUCACCAAGGCCACGAUGCAUAGCCGACCGGAGAGGGUGAGCGGACAGAAUGGGACUGAGACACGGCCAAGACGACGAAGGGAGGCAGCAGGAGGGAAUCUGAGGAAAUGGAGGAAAGUCUGACAGAGCAACGCCGCGUGAGUGAAGAAGGUUUUCGGAUAGGAAAACUCUGUUGUUAGAGAAGCGGUAUCUAACCAGAAAGCCACGGCUAACUACGUGCCAGCAGCCGCGGUAAUAC